ensembl:lncRNA
CACACACACACACACACACGGCUUACUUAAUAUGUUAUCAAAUAUAAAGGCUACAUGGCGAACAAUUUCCGUUAUAAUAAAAUAAAAGUAUUUGUUUUUUACUGAAUAGGCUCGAAUAUAUUCCGAAAGGCCAAUUGGAUAAUAGCCUACAACCUAUCGCGGUGUUUUACCUCAGCAUUGCACGCCUUCCCCGGCACAUUCGCCCAUGGGUCGUGUUUGUAUAGUUUACGGAUUUUUUGUCGUCACACAAUAAUCAUCGCGUGCAUAUCCAUCGCGACGUCUCCAUCGCGCGCAAGAGGAUGGAGACGUCGCCUGGCGCAGCCCACGUAGGCAACGUGACCCAGAAGUCAGAGCACAGUGAGCAGCAUCACAUCCUCGCCCGUCCACCGGGUCUGCGGUAACGGCUUCACCGGAGAGCUUCCAGCUGACGGUCUUUGGUGGCUUCUCUUCUAUUCCUCCUUUCUGGGCUUCCAUUCAGAUGGUUUUGGGGUUUAUUUACCGACUUGGCGAACCCCGUCUCCGCUGCUCCGCGUGUUCACUCAGUUAUCGGUUGACCGGGCGGAGGGCGGCAGAAGUUAUCAUACAAGUGCACGAGUCGCCGAUUUGAGUAUCUUUGCUUUAGGCUACCGUUUUUACAUCGAAAUAUUCGACCAGCUCGUAGCGAGACACCGUUGUGAUCGUGACUGCGGAGUGCAGGGAGGAGAUGGCAUGGUGCUUUGGUCGGUGGAAUGCAGGAAUCCUCGGAUGGCAGAAAGAAUCACUGUCUCACGCUGAAAACCUUCCAGGCUCCAGGCCCGUGUCUUGGAGGUCGACCAGCCAGGAGCAACAACCAGGGUGUUCAGAAGAAUACCAGAGUAGAGACAUCAACGCCUGGGAAAGACCUAAGACGACCGCCGUCACACCCGCUGUGAUGCACGCCACAGGACGGGAAGAAGGCAGCAGCAGCAGAAGACCAGAGAGAACAGGAGGAGAGUGGGUGGAAGGAUGGAGGGAUGAUGAACGGAUGGAAACAGUCGGCGGAGGAAGAGGAGGAGGAGGAGGAGGAGGAGGAGGAGGAGGAGGUGGUUGAAAGCGGGCUGAACCCGGAGCAGCCCAACACAGCUGUGGAUCGCCAUGGGCUUCACUGGCUGCCGCCUUCUGUGGCCCCGGCGCAUCCAUACCGGGGUCCCGGGGAGGCGGCGCGGGGGCCAGCCAACGCGGCGUCAGCGCGGGCUGGCUGGGGCCAAGCGGAGCCGGCAGAGAGGCAGGUGAUGUGGGUGAGCCGGGCUCCCAUGACCGGCGGCUAGCUGCCUCCGCGGCGCUGGAGCUAGCUGAGAGCUGAGCAGCAGAAAUCAAUACGUAGGGAGGGAGGCGGGCAGGGGUCGCCCAGUGCUGCCUUCAGGCCCCCCGGAGCCCAGGGACCCACCAGCACAGCCUCACCUCCACCACAGCUCUCUCUCUCUCUCUCUCUCUCUGAUAAACUCAAUGUGACUCUAGCUCUCUCUCUCGUUCUAAUUCACUUCAUAUUUAUCACUCUCUGCGAGCGUCCCGGCAACCCCUGACCCCGGCAACCACCUCACACGCUGUGCGCCUCUUUGUGUGUGCGUGCGUGUGUGUGUUUGUGUGUGUGUGUUUGUGUGUGUGCCUGUGUGUGCUUGCAUUUGCUGUACACACACGUUUGUGCUUGCUUGUUUGAGAGAAACAAAGUGAGGGAGAAAUGAGAGAGAGCGAGAGGGAGAGGGAGAGAGAGAGAGAGAGAGAGAGAGAGAGAGAGAGAGAGAGAGAGAGAGAGAGAGAGAGAGAGAGAGAGAGAGAAGAGAGAGAGAGAGAGAGAGAGAGAGAGAGAGAGAGAGAGAGAGAGAGAGAGAGAGAGAGAGAGAGAGAAUCAGAGAGAGAGAGAGAGAGAGAGAGAGAGAGAGAGAGGGAGAGAGAGAGAGAGAGGGAGAGGGAGAGAAUCAGAGAGCGAGAAGGAGGGAGAAAGAGAGAGAGAGAGAGAGAGGGAGAGGAGAGAGGGAGAGGGAGAGGGAGAGAAUCAGAGAGGAGAAGGGAGAGAGAGAGAGAGGAGAGAGAGAGAGAGAGAGAGAGAGAGAGAGAGGGAGAGGGAGAGAGAGAGAAUCAGAGAGGGAGAGGGGAGGGAGAGAGAGAG